rnacentral:rRNA from 1 species
GAGAGUUAAACAGUACGUGAAAUUGUUGAAAGGGAAACGAUUGAAGCCAGUCGUACCUUCGGGUAAUCAGCCUUUUGGGUGUGAUUUUGUGGAGCGUGAAGAGUUAAACGCCUUCAUGCCUGCAUAUUCGUGCACUUUGGGUGUACUUGCCCGUAUGGUUGGUUAACAUCAAUUUUGAUGGUCAUAAAAUGACUGGAGGAAUGUAGCUUCGAUCUCGUAUUGAAGUGUUAUAGCCUUCGGUAGAUGUGAUGAUCGAGAUUGAGGAUUGCAACGGAUACCCUUCGGGGCUACCUGUCUGGUCUCUGAUCGUUGCUCUGGUGCCGAAAGCUUGCUUACGGUUAUCAAAGUCGAUGGUCAAUAGGUUAGAACGGGUUAAAUUCGUUAAGGAUGUUGACGUAAUGGCUUUAAACGA